CGAGUUGGUCGGGCGGCCGCGGCGCUGGGAACGGGCACGGUUGUGCCGCCGCCCGGUGCCGAGGAAAGUCCGGACUCCACAGAGCAGGGCGGUUGCUAACGGCAACCCGGGGUGACCCGCGGGAAAGUGCCACAGAAAACAGACCGCCCACGGCCUCGCGGCCGUGCGGUGAGGGUGAAACGGUGCGGUAAGAGCGCACCAGCGCCCCGGGUGACCGGGGCGGCUAGGUAAACCCCGCCCGGAGCAAGGUCGAAGGUCGCACCGCUCGCGGUGCGGCUGCGCAGGUGUUCGAGGGCUGCUCGCCCGAGCCUGCGGGUGGACCGCUCGAGGCACCCGGCGACGGAGUGCCCAGAUGGAUGGCCGCCCCCCGGCCACACGGCCGGGGACAGGAUCCGGCUUACAGACCGACUCGUCCG
rnacentral:RNase_P_RNA from 1 species